GGUGGUGGCGGGGGAUGAUUUUCUUUGCCGGCUUCUUGUAUUUUCUCCUGGUCUUUGGAGCCUGAGCCAGUAUCCCAUGGUGACCUGACCCUGAAGCCCCAGCACCUCACUGCAGACCCCCACCCUGAAAAAUCUUAGCGCGCCCCCUCCCUGACCAUCACCCUUCUACAUCCCUCUUUCCUCGUAACCUCUCCAGCACCGGCUACAGUAAACUGAGGGUCGAGGGGGCACCUCACCCUCAGGCUGCUGCCCCCAUGGCAAAGCUUCGGGAAGACCAACCGAAAAAUUCAAGCAAGAACAACACCCCCUUUCCUCCUGAAAGGGCCCCAGACUCGCGCGAAAGGGCCCCGACUCCUGAGAAGCCCCUCCCGCCCUUGCCUCAUCUUUCCGACUUCCCUGCUUGCCACGUCUCCUUUCCUUCCUAGCAAGGGAAAGAAACUCAAGCGGCAGCCCACGUUUAACCUGGAAACUGACAGAGCCAGAGCAAGACUGCUGGAGUGGGCUUCUCCCUGGCACCUUCAGGGUCGACACUGCUGGGAGAAGACUGUCCUGACGCUUGGGAACCCGCCAAGGCCGCCCACCCUUGCCACUCUCAGGAGGAGACUCCCCCCAUGGGCUGGAGCAGUGAGCCCCCUCCCCCUCCCCCGUAGCUGCAGCAGCCUCCGGCUGAGGUAAAAAUUGGAUGGAAAUGGUUCCUUCUGGGGUACAGUGCCCUCAACGAUGCUGCACCUUUACAGCUCCUACUACUGCCCACCUAUCUGGGAAAAGUCGAAGAAGGCAAAAGCGACUCGCUUUUAUUCUCUCCACCAGGCAGCCAGCCUUGCCAGCCCCCAACCCCUGUUUACUGGAGCAGCUACUGAAGAAGAUGCCCACGUAGAGACCACAAGUGCUUCCUCCUACCCCACUCCUUUUGAGACUAGAACUCUCAGGCUAUAGAAAUCGUAGAGACCAGGAUAGUGGCAACUAUAAGCCACUGUGGUAGGCAAAGGCUGGUGAAUCUCCUUGAAGCCAGUCUGGUUUAUAUAGUGAGUUCCAGACUAAGCGGGGUCUGUACUGGGGGGGUUGGGGCAGUGGGUCGUAUGUAAAUGGAGAAAAGUGAAUUAGUUUCUUGUUCUUACCACAAUCCCACUUGGGAUGCAGUUACUGUGGGUGAUUCACAGAUGAGGAAACCCAUGAUUAAAGCAGUAAGUGCCUAUUCCUAGUUAGA